UUUCUUUUCUAUUCACCGUUGCACCUCUCCUUCCGUUCACCUCUUCUUCUCUCCCCACCGGCGCUGCCCCAACCCCCACCCGGCGACGCCCCAGCCGCCACCCCAGCCCUACCCGAUGCCGCACCAGCCCCCGCCCGACGCCGCCCCUGUCCUUGCCCGGCGCCGGCUCAGCCCCCACCUGACGCCGCCCCAACCUCCACCCGACGCCGCCUCAGCCCCCACCCCUAUUUCCUCUCUGGAUCUUCUGGGUCUGAUCCCUAACCUGGCCCAAUUCUUGCCCACAAGAAUUGAUAUCAAAGGUACGUUUUGUUUCAUUUCAUAUUUAUUUUUGUUGUUCUUAAACAUUGUCCCAACGAAGGUUACAUGAAAUUCUCUCAUAUGGUCUGAAAUUUUCUUUUCUCCUAUUUUCCGUUAAAUUUAUUUUAAAUUCUCCAAAUUGAAAGAUGGAAUUGAUGAUGCCAGCCGUUUGGGGUUUAGAGAGGUGGUGUUGUACAUAACAUGGAUACGUGCAUUAGUUUGGUAUUCUGUUGGAUUAUUGUAAUCAUUUAGUUUCUUCUUUUUUUUUUAAUUUUUUUUAACGGCUGAUUUUUGUUCUUUUAAUUUUGGUAAUGUUUUUAUUCUUGAUGAUUUUUUUUUAACGAAAUUGCUGAUGGGAGGAAGAAGAUGAUGAUUGUUUUCAAAUAGUGGUUUAUGUUUCAAAUAACGAGAAGAAGAUGAUUACACAAACUAUGCUCUAGGGUUCAUUGGGGAGAAGAUGGUGUCCUUUAUAGUGGUUUUAUAACUUCUUUUUCGCAAAAUUUUUGAUGUUAAUUUUCUUAUUAUAAUUCAUAGUGAUUUUCGAUGUUUAUAUAGUUGAGCAUAUAAAGUGGUUUUCAUGUUUAUAUAGUUGUUUUAUACAAAGUGGUUUUCAUGUUUAUAUAUUUGUUUAUACGAAGUGGUUUUCAUAAUGUCAGGCUUUGCCUUUGAUAAAUUUAUAGUGGU
rnacentral:lncRNA from 1 species